AAAUUAUCUGUCUUUGUGGAAAUUGAAAUGGAGAGGGAGCCUGCAACCCAGUUUUUGAGCUACUGCCUAGUCCAAUUGACGAGCCCGGCUUCUACAUGUGAGUAGAAUAUCAACCUUUAGCCACAUGUAACAUCAUAAAGCAAACUAUGUACCUAUAUAUUAUAUAUAUGGAUAGUAAUCUUGUCAAAUACAUGUGCGUGUGGACUAAUAUUUUUUCUCAUUUUCAAAAACAGGUGGCAUCAUCAUACCCGACUGAACAAUGGGCUCUUGGAAAAAAGUGGUCGAGAGAAGAAAUAUUAAGAAGCGAUUUUGUAGAAACAGAUACAGAAUAGAAAUCGAGGAUAUUAAAUAGGCGAUUAAGCUCACAUCUAUUGAGCACAAUGACCUUCGGGAGUAUUAAUUAAGAUGGUUAAUCAUGCUUAACAGAGGCUGCUGCAUAGGGUUAAAACUAAUAUUCAAGGUAAAAUUCCGAGAAAGAGGUAAAUAAAGCAAUUAAGAAGGAUUUGAGCAUAUGUGGUUUAACAUUCCAGAUGUUCCAUGAUAAAGAAGAGAGGAAGAACAAGUAGCCGACCACAAUUACUCAAACAGAACUUAGUUCACUGAAUCUGGGCGGCAGCCGCUAAAAUUCUCUUUUGCACAAACCCAGCGCUAAUAAUUCUUAUUUAUAAACUUAGUGGUUGAGGCACCAAUUAGGCCGCCACAGGGUUUAAAACACUCAACACUCCUCCCAGUGCAUGAUGGACAAGAAAUUAAGAUUUUGUUUUCAGAAUCUUAGUGUACUUUAAGAUCAUCACUUAUAAUGCUAAAAAUUCAUGCACAAUACAUUUUUUAUUUAUGCAUCAGAUUUUGUUCUUAUUUGGCAUAUUUUAUCAGUUGAAUAACUUGGCAAAUUAUGUAAUCAAAACUGUGCCAACUGAAAUACCUGCUAUCAUCAUCUCUAAAAGGAAACCCAGAUUCGCUUCUUGUCUUUCAUUUUUAUAAUCAUUUAGUUGGUUAGGGUGGCAAACCACAAUACUUUUUCAUGUGUGUAAUGCAACUGUACCAAAUUUAGGAAUAUUUAAUAUUUAUGCAGCUAGACUAUGCAGACGAAGCAUGGGGACCCUGCCCAGGUAAAUUUCCAUGUCAGAUAUAGGCACAUCUUGACACAUGCAGAUUUGAUCAACGAGAAGAAAUUAUUACGCCUUAGUAUCCUUCCCUUAAGUUGUCCUCAAUUAGUAACACCAAUUUUUUUGAGACUUUUGUACACCCCCAAAGCAGAAGCCUCUUCUUGAAGUUAAUAUAAGGAAGCCGCUACUACUUAAAUGGCCAUUACUUAAUGGACAUUAGGCCAUAUAAAAGAAAAUAAAAAUAUUAACAACCACCUUGUAGUCUUAGUGCUGUAAAAUAAAUACAGGUACCCAAGGAAACAGUUAUGAAAACCCCGUGUUUUAUUACCAACGAGAAAGGGCACAACAACUGCAAUUGACUAGACAAACAUUCAAAAAAGAAAGACACGGAGAGAAGCUGCGUCUUAACAAAAUGUACUAAUCUCAAUAUCAGCAAAUGCCAAAACUCGUGAAUUAGAAAUCUCUAGCAUUGAAUUGACUUAGCAAAGGUUAAAUCAAGCUUCUUGUCUAAUUAUGAUUUGCACAAAUGCCAUGUCAAGUGUGUUAACAAACUGUCAACUUAUGCAGCAUAUGCUACGACCUUUGGGGCAAGCAACAUCAUGUUUCCAGUGUAAAUUCAAAAAUGAACGAUGCAGUUCAAGGAAGCAUCACUUACCAUCACAU
rnacentral:lncRNA from 1 species